rnacentral:rRNA from 1 species
UGUACAUAAAUUUUGCUGCAGUUAAAACGCUCGUAGUUGCGGUUGCGCUGGGAGAGAAGACUGUGUGCGCAAGCAUGCGGUUUUUUUCUCCUGGCUAUUUUCUGGGUCGCUUGUUAAUUCAAACGACCCUUGUAAACCCUGAAGAAAUAUUGUUGCUCAAAGCUGGUCUUAGGAUCGAGUUCUUUUUGCAUGGGAUUUUAGAAAAUGUGGGAUGGUUUAAUCACCGUUCCAAAUGACGUUUGAGGAAGAAGGAGGUGGUUUGUACUGGAAUGCUAGAGGUGAAAUUCUUUGAUUAUUCCAUGACAAACUGAUGCGAAGGCGUUCCACAACUGCUUUCCUGUCAAUCAAGAACGAAAGUAGAAGGUUCGAAGACGAUCAGAUACCGUCGUAGUUUCUACCGUAAAUGUUGCCGACAAAGGAGGCGAGAACGACAUAGAGCAAACACUUUAGUGGUUGCUUAAUAUCCUCUCGCUUUCUCCCACGAAAGUUCAAGUCUUUGGGUUCUGGGGGGAGUAUGUUCGCAAGGCCGAAACUUAAAGGAAUUGACGGAGGAGCACCACCAGGCGUGGAGCUUGCGGCUUAAUUUGACUCAACACGGGGAAACUUACCAGGCCCAGACAGCAGGAGGAUUGACAGAUUGAAAGCUCUUUCAUAAUUUGUUGGGUGGUGGUGCAUGGCCGUUCUUAGUUGGUGGUGUGAGCUGUCUGGUCGAUUCCGUUAACGAACGAGACCUUCGCCGCAUAAUAGAACGGCGGAGAUGUCGCGCUAAGCCUGUAUGGGACUCUUGGGGAUUUCCUUCGGGCCCCCCGAGAGCAUCGUGUGCAGGUGCGGUUCUCCGUCGAGUCUUCUUUGCGGGACUAAUGGGGAAGACCCAUUGGAAGUUGGAGGCAAAAACAGGUCUGUGAUGCCCUUAGAUGUUCUGGGCUGCACGCGUGCUACAAUGACAGAUUCAACGAGUUUCUCGCUUGCUCGAAAGGGCUGGCUAAUCUUUGAAAAUCUGUCGUACCAAGGACUGCUGAUUGCAAUUAUUCGGCACGAAUCAGGAAUGCCUUGUACCUGUGAGUCAACAGCUCACAGGGAAUACGUCCCUGCUCUUUGUACACACCGCCCGUCGCUGCUACCAAUUGGUGUUCCCGGUGAAAAGUUCGGAGUGAGCCUGUUUCGGCGUUAAACCCGUGCAGAUUUGCAAAGUUCUUUAAAUCUUGGGCACUAGAGGAAGCAGAAGUCGUAACAAGGUU